rnacentral:rRNA from 1 species
GACGAACGCUGGCGGCGUGCUUAACACAUGCAAGUCGAGCGGUGAGGCCCUUUCGGGGGUACACGAGCGGCGAACGGGUGAGUAACACGUGGGUGACCUGCCCUCAGCUCUGGGAUAAGCCUGGGAAACCGGGUCUAAUACCGGAUAUGACUCCAUGACGCAUGUUGUGGGGUGGAAAGCCUUGUGCGGCUGAGGAUGGGCCCGCGGCCUAUCAGCUUGUUGGUGGGGUGAGGCCUACCAAGGCGACGACGGGUAGCCGGCCUGAGAGGGCGACCGGCCACACUGGGACUGAGACACGGCCCAGACUCCUACGGGAGGCAGCAGUGGGGAAUCUUGCACAAUGGGGGAAACCCUGAUGCAGCGACGCCGCGUGAGCGAUGAAGCCCUUCGGGGUGUAAGGCUCUUUCGGCGGGAACGAUAAUGACGGUACCCGCAGAAGAAGCUGCGGCUAACUACGUGCCAGCAGCCGCCGUAAU